UAAGGGAUAUUGCGCAAUGGGCGAAAGCCUGACGCAGCAACGCCGCGUAGAGGAAGAAGGCUUUCGGGUCGUAAACUCCUUUUGUGAAGGACGAGGAAGGACGGUACUUCACGAAUAAGUCACGGCUAACUACGUGCCAGCAGCCGCGGUAAAACGUAGGUGGCGAGCGUUAUCCGGAAUUACUGGGCGUAAAGCGUGUGCAGGCGGGAUGGUAAGUGGUGUAUGAAAUGUCCUGGCUCAACCAGGAGGGGUUAUGCCAGACUGCCAUUCUUGAGUGCGAGAGAGGAGCGUGGAAUUCCGGGUGUAGUGGUGAAAUGCGUAGAGAUCCGGAGGAACCCCAGAGGCGAAGGCGGCGCUCUGGCUCGCAACUGACGCUCAGACACGACAGCAUGGGGAGCGAACGGGAUUAGAAACCCCGGUAGUCCAUGCCGUAAACGAUGCCAACUAGGCGCUGCGGGACUCAACCCCCGCGGUGCCGCAGCAAACGCGAUAAGUU
rnacentral:rRNA from 1 species